rnacentral:sRNA from 1 species
UAACCUACUCCAUUCUGAUCUCUCUCUG